AUCGCUUCUCGGCCUUUUGGCUAAGAUCAAGUGUAGUAUUAGUGUUUUUUAUGGUAUCUUCUGCCCCUGAGAUUCUCUCUUGUAUUCUGUUGGUGAUGCUUGCAUCUAUGACUCCUGAUCUCUUCCCUAGGUUUUCUACCCCCAGGAUUGUAUCCCUU
ensembl:snRNA LOC120097281 U2 spliceosomal RNA